rnacentral:rRNA from 1 species
GACGAACGCUGGCGGCGUGCUUAACACAUGCCAGUCGAACGGAAAGGCCCUGCUUUUGUGGGGUGCUCGAGUGGCGAACGGGUGAGUAACACGUGAGUAACCUGCCCUUGACUUUGGGAUAACUUCAGGAAACUGGGGCUAAUACCGGAUAGGAGCUCCUGCUGCAUGGUGGGGGUUGGAAAGUUUCGGCGGUUGGGGAUGGACUCGCGGCUUAUCAGCUUGUUGGUGGGGUAGUGGCUUACCAAGGCUUUGACGGGUAGCCGGCAUGAGAGGUUGACCGGCCACAUUGGGACUGAGAUACGGCCCAGACUCCUACGGGAGGCAGCAGUGGGGAAUAUUGCCCAAUGGGCGGAAGCCUGAUGCAGCAACGCCGCGUGCGGGAUGACGGCCUUCGGGUUGUAAACCGCUUUCGCCUGUGACGAAGCGUGAGUGACGGUAAUGGGUGAAGAAGCACCGGCUAACUACGUG